rnacentral:lncRNA from 1 species
UAUAUAUAUAUAUAUAUAUAAAAUUGAGCUCCUAUAUUUUUAAAAGUACCAAGUUAGUGGUGCUUGUAGAUUUUUGGCCAUUGAAUUAAGUGAUGUACGGUUAGGAUGAUGUGGGCCUCCUAGGGUUGAGUGAGUGAUUGGUUGAAUAGUUUAAUCUAACGGUUGAAAAUAAUUGAAGGCGUAGAUCUAACGGUUAAAAAUUUACAAGUACCAAGUGCUUGGUGCUUUUAUAAGCACCAUAACCGAACUCUCUCUCUCUCUCUAUAUAUAU